UAAGACGAACCGUGCGAACGUUGUUCGGAAUCACUGGGCUUAAAGGGCGCGUAGGCGGGCCAUAAAGUCAGGGGUGAAAUCCUCCAGCUUAACUGGAGAACUGCCUUUGAUACUGAUGGUCUCGAGUAAGGUAGGGGCAUGCGGAACUGAUGGUGGAGCGGUGAAAUGUGUUGAUAUCAUCAGGAACUCCGGUGGCGAAAGCGGCAUGCUGGACCUUCACUGACGCUGAGGCGCGAAAGCUAGGGGAGCGAACGGGAUUAGAUACCCCGGUAGUCCUAGCCCUAAACGAUGAGUACUAGGUUGUAGCCUUGACAUGGGGUUACAGCCGGAGCAAAAGUGCUAAGUACUCCGCCUGGGGAGUAUGGUCGCAAGGCUG
rnacentral:rRNA from 1 species